AUGGACCCGGGGCGUCCUCCUCCUCGUCCGGUCGGUCGACCGGCUCUCCCUGCCUCCGCCCCGUCAAGCCGGAGCCCCAGGACACGCCUGUCAGCCGGCGUACCCGCAGCUCCGGUGUCCGCAUCGCCGACUCCACCCCCGCCUCUGGCCGCCUCGUCCUCGUCGCGCCCAAACCGGAGCCCAGCCUCCCCCGGAGUACGAGGAGCUAGCCCGGCGCGGCUUCUCCGACGAGGACGCCCUACGGUGGGCGCUCGACGACUACCUCCGCGACGAGAUGGUCCGGCAGCGCCGGGCCCUGGAGGAGGGUUGCAGCAGGGACGAGAUGGUCCGGCAAGCGUGAGCGCGAGGACGAGCAUGGCGUCGUGA
rnacentral:rRNA from 1 species